GGUUUGGUCCCAGCCUUUCUAUUGGCUGCUAGCAAAACUACACAUGCAAGUAUCCGCCCCCCAGUGAGAAUGCCCUGCAAAUCAUAAUAAUGAUAAAAAGGAGCAGGUAUCAAGCACACUACCCAAGUAGCUCAUAACACCUUGCUCAACCACACCCCCACGGGAAACAGCAGUGAUAAAAAUUAAGCAAUAAACGAAAGUUUGACUAAGUUAUGCAUACCAGGGUUGGUAAAUUUCGUGCCAGCCGCCGCGGUCAUACGAUUAACCCUAGUCAAUAGACAUACGGCGUAAAACGUGUUUAAGGAUAUCUCAUAUAAAGUCAAACCCUAGCUACGCUGUAAAAAGCCACAGCUACUGUAAGCCCAACUACGAAAGCGACUUUAAAUUACCUGAACACACGACAGCUAAGACCCAAACUGGGAUUAGAUACCCCACUAUGCUUAGCCCUAAACCCAAAGAAUCGACCCAACAAGAUUCUUCGCCAGAGUACUACUAGCCAAAGCUUAAAACUCAAAGGACUUGGCGGUGCUUCACAUCCCUCUAGAGGAGCCUGUUCUGUAACCGAUAAACCCCGAUAAACCUCACCAGCCCUUGCCAACCCAGCCUAUAUACCGCCAUCUUCAGCAAACCCUGAAAAGGAAACAUAGUAAGCUCAACCGCAGUACGCAAAAACGUUAGGUCAAGGUGUAGCCCAUGGGCUGGGAAGAAAUGGGCUACAUUUCCUACCAUUACUAGGACACUACACGAAAGUCCCUGUGAAACCAAGGACCAAAGGUGGAUUUAGCAGUAAACUAAGAAUAGAGCGCUUAGUUGAAUAAGGCCAUGAAGCACGCACACACCGCCCGUCACCCUCCUCAAAUACAAACGGUACUACCAAAUCCUAUUAUUACCCACCAAAACUACUAGAGGAGACAAGUCGUAACAAGGUAAGCGUACUGGAAAGUGCGCUUGGAUAAC
rnacentral:ncRNA from 1 species